GUGGGGAAUAUUGGACAAUGGGCGCAAGCCUGAUCCAGCAAUGCCGCGUGGGUGAAGAAGGUCUUCGGAUCGUAAAGCCCUUUCGACAGGGACGAUGAUGACGGUACCUGUAGAAGAAGCCCCGGCUAACUUCGUGCCAGCAGCCGCGGUAAUACGAAGGGGGCUAGCGUUACUCGGAAUUACUGGGCGUAAAGGGCGCGUAGGCGGCUCUGUUAGUCAGGCGUGAAAUUCCUGGGCUUAACCUGGGGACUGCGCUUGAUACUGCAGGGCUUGAGGCCGAGAGAGGGUGGUGGAAUUCCCAGUGUAGAGGUGAAAUUCGUAGAUAUUGGGAAGAACACCGGUGGCGAAGGCGACCACCUGGCUCGGUUCUGACGCUGAGGCGCGACAGCGUGGGGAGCAAACAGGAUUAGAUACCCCAGUAGUCC
rnacentral:rRNA from 1 species